AACGAACGCUGGCGGCGUGGAUAAGACAUGCAAGUCGAACGGGACUAAAUCUGUAGCAAUACAGGUUUAGUUUAGUGGCGAACGGGUGCGUAACACGUGGGCAAUCUGCCGAGAAGUGGGGGAUAGCUCGCCGAAAGGCGAAUUAAUACCGCAUAUGAUCAGCUAAGACAUCUUAGCGACAUCAAAGCCGGGGUAACCUGGCGCUUCUUGAUGAGCCCGCGGCCAUCAGCUAGUUGGUGAGGUAACGGCUCACCAAGGCUAUGACGGGUAGCUGGUCUGAGAGGACGACCAGUCACACUGGAACUGAGACACGGUCCAGACACCUACGGGUGGCAGCAGUCGAGAAUUUUUCUCAAUGGGGCAACCCUGAAGGAGCGACGCCGCGUGGAGGAU
rnacentral:rRNA from 1 species